UACGUAGGGGGCAAGCGUUGUCCGGAAUUAUUGGGCGUAAAGAGCGCGUAGGCGGUCCGGUAAGUCGGUUGUGAAAGUCGGGGGCUCAACCCUCGGAUGCCGAUCGAUACUGUCGGGCUAGAGUCCGGAAGAGGAGAGUGGAAUUCCUGGUGUAGCGGUGAAAUGCGCAGAUAUCAGGAGGAACACCCGUGGCGAAAGCGGCUCUCUGGGACGGUACUGACGCUGAGACGCGAAAGCGUGGGGAGCAAACAGG
rnacentral:rRNA from 1 species